rnacentral:rRNA from 1 species
CCCUUAGAUGUCCUGGGCUGCACGCGCGCUACACUGAUGUGUCCAGUAAGCACCUAACCUCUUCCGAAAGGAACGGGUAACCUUUGCAAAGCACAUCGUGAUGGGGAUAGAUUAUUGCAAUUAUUAGUCUUGAACGAGGAAUUCCUAGUAAGCACAAGUCAUCAGCUUGUGUUGAUUACGUCCCUGCCCUUUGUACACACCGCCCGUCGCUCCUACCGAUUGAAUGUUCCGGUGAAGCCUCGGGAUUGUGGUUCUUGCCGCUUUAUUGUGGCGUGACCGCGAGAACUUGUCUAAACCUUAUCAUCUAGAGGAAGGUGAAGUCGUAACA